rnacentral:rRNA from 1 species
UACGUAGGGCGCAAGCGUUAUCCGGAAUUAUUGGGCGUAGAGAGCUCGUAGGCGGUUUGUCGCGUCUGCUGUGAAAGACCGGGGCUCAACUCCGGUUCUGCAGUGGGUACGGGCAGACUAGAGUGAUGUAGGGGAGACUGGAAUUCCUGGUGUAGCGGUGAAAUGCGCAGAUAUCAGGAGGAACACCGAUGGCGAAGGCAGGUCUCUGGGCAUUAACUGACGCUGAGGAGCGAAAGCAUGGGGAGCGAACAGG